rnacentral:SRP_RNA from 1 species
CUGUGCUAGAUGGGGAGCUAGCGGUUCCCUGUAACCUGAAAUCCGCUUACGCAGGAUUGAAUGCCGGUAGAAGGGUUUUGCUGAAAUUGAAAUGGGGUAUAAGCGGUGUUGAAAGUUUCAGCUUUACGCAAUAAACCUGUUUUAAAUCCCGUCAGGUCCGGGAGGAAGCAGCGGUAGAAGUUUGGUUUAUGUGCCGUAAAAUCCUGGAAUUGAGCUGGCUGUAUUCCAGAUCAAUUAAACAGAAAACACAACUGCCGGUGCACAG